rnacentral:lncRNA from 1 species
UGAGAACAGAGAAAAGCUUGCAGAAAGCUAUGGAAGCCAAGAAACACCAGGCAGGAAGAGAGCCCGACUACUCGUUCGUGCUUCAGUAAGAGAGCAGAGACCUGGGGCUGCGCAGGACACUACCUGGAGCCACAGCACCUGCUGCCCAGGCGUCCCACAGAGCAUACAGCCGAAAGGUCUCCAGGUUGCAACGUCUGCUACAGCAAACCACAGUCAAAGGAAUAAGCAGAACCAUACAGAAAAUCCAGGGGACAAUGAAAAGCUAAAAAAAGCUACAGAGGGCUUCGUGAGGAAUACCACCAUCAACAUCUCUCAUCUUCUGAGUGAGAAAUCCCAUUCCACUUUCUAUGGAGGCUAUUUCCCUGAAAGAAAAAAGUACUACAAUGCUAAACAAGGACAUAUGAAGAGCCAGGAUGUUGAAGUAAAAAGACUUAAUGAAAACAGCUUUUUUCCUCCUAUUCCAUCUGCCAUGGGCUCAGAGCAAGAUGCAGCAAGGGAGGAGCAAAUAAAGAUACCAGAAACACUGAAGUUACCUACAAUCUCAGAAGAGUCACCUAGGGCUUACACGCUCCCUAAGAAACAUCUGAAAUCUAGCAAAACCCCAAAGGAACUUCUGGUCAUCCCUUUGCUUGUUCAGAUGCAGACUGGGCUGAAGACCCGGACUCAAAAAGGAACUCUUUGUUACACAUCCAAGCCAGAGACCAACGGCCACGAGAACUUGUUGGCUCCUUCCCUGGAUGAUCUCAUUUCAGGGCGAGAAGGUACAGCUAAGCAGCACCAGAUGGUCACUGGAGGACAUCCAGACAUACAUCAAGGUAGCUUCAUCCGAGCUCCAACAGGCAAUCAAGAGUUCACUCUGGAGAGGAGGAAGGCAGAAGUUAGAGGGAUAAAUGCUGGGAAGGAGGGCCACUACAAGAAAGACGGUGAGCUAUGCACACAAAACGUGGUCCCAGCAUUAGGUGUCCUGCCUCCUAUAGAUGGAAAGAAGAAUCCAGGACACGAGGACAACAGGGCUGGUGCCAAAGCUCCCAGCAGCAGCCAUGUCCUCCCAGACAGCACUUCCAAAGCUCUCCCUGCAGGGCUUGCACRUGGUGCCCUCCCUGAAGAGGGAAAAGGUA